rnacentral:rRNA from 1 species
CAAUAGCGUAUAUUAAAGUUGUUGCAGUUAAAAAGCUCGUAGUUGGAUUUCGGGACGGUCCGGCUGGUCCGCCGCAAGGCGUGUUACUGACCGGGCUGUCCUUCUUUGCAAAGGCUGCAUGUGCUCUUAACUGAGUGUGUGUAGGAUUUGUGACGUUUACUUUGAAAAAAUUAGAGUGUUCAAAGCAGGCCAGCGCUUGAAUACAUAAGCAUGGAAUAAUGGAAUAGGACUUUGGUUCUAUUUUGUUGGUUUCUGGAACCGAAGUAAUGAUUAAGAGGGACAGUUGGGGGCAUUUGUAUUUCGGUGCUAGAGGUGAAAUUCUUAGAUUACCGAAAGACAAACUGCUGCGAAAGCGUCUGCCAAGGAUGUUUUCAUUGA